UGAAACUCAAAGGAAUUGACGGGGGCCCGCACCAGCGGUGGAGCAUGUGGUUUAAUUCGAAGCAACGCGAAGAACCUUACCAGGUCUUGACAUCCUCUGACAACUCUAGAGAUAGAGCGUUCCCCUUCGGGGGACAGAGUGACAGGUGGUGCAUGGUCGUCGUCAGCUCGUGUCGUGAGAUGUUGGGUUAAGUCCCGCAACGAGCGCAACCCUUGAUCUUAGUUGCCAGCAUUUAGUUGGGCACUCUAAGGUGACCGCCGGUGACAAACCGGAGGAAGGUGGGGAUGACGUCAAAUCAUCAUGCCCCUUAUGACCUGGGCUACACACGUGCUACAAUGGAUGGUACAAAGGGCUGCAAGACCGCGAGGUCAAGCCAAUCCCAUAAAACCAUUCUCAGUUCGGAUUGUAGGCUGCAACUCGCCUACAUGAAGCGGAAUCGCUAGUAAUCGCGGAUCAGCAUGCCGCGGUGAAUACGUUCC
rnacentral:rRNA from 1 species